GACGAACGCUGGCGGCGUGCUUAACACAUGCAAGUCGAACGGUGAUGCUCCAGCUUGCUGGAGUGGAUCAGUGGCGAACGGGUGAGUAACACGUGAGCAACCUGCCCCAGACUCUGGAAUAAGCGCUGGAAACGGCGUCUAAUACUGGAUACGAAACUGGCCCGCAUGGGCAUGGUUUGUAAAGUUUUUCGGUUUGGGAUGGGCUCGCGGCCUAUCAGCUUGUUGGUGAGGUAAUGGCUCACCAAGGCGACGACGGGUAGCCGGCCUGAGAGGGCGACCGGCCACACUGGGACUGAGACACGGCCCAGACUCCUACGGGAGGCAGCAGUGGGGAAUAUUGCACAAUGGGCGAAAGCCUGAUGCAGCGACGCCGCGUGAGGGAUGACGGCCUUCGGGUUGUAAACCUCUUUCAGCAGGGAAGAAGCGAAAGUGACGGUACCUGCAGAAGAAGCACCGGCUAACUACGUG
rnacentral:rRNA from 1 species